rnacentral:rRNA from 2 species
AGGAUUCAGUCUGUAGUUGCCGUCGCGCUGGUCGGGGGUUUCCUCGGGGCCGUCCGAUCGCGAGGGACAGACGCAUUUGUCUCCCGGUCUGAGGACGCCGUAGCCCGCUGGGAAAUGCAAACGUGACGGCCUUGAAGGCGGGAAAUGGCAGGUGGCCGGUAGCGAGCCUCGUGCUCUUUGCCGGUUGUUAGCCGUCCCGUCGGUGGCUCGUCUCCCCGCGGAGGUAUCCUCUCGCCUGGACUUGCAGCGGAGAGCGAAGACAAUCGCGCGGCCGCACUCCGCAGGAGUGGGCCACCGGCCGACUGCCGCUGAGGACCAGUCGGAGGUUAGCGGCGAGUUGGUCGGUCACCCACCCGACCCGUCUUGAAACACGGACCAAGGAGUCUAACAUGUGCGCGAGUCAGUGGGUCUCGAACAAGCCCAGAGGCGCAAUGAAAGUAAAGGUCGGGAUCCCGGCAUGGGCGCACCGACGACCCGUCCUGUGCCGUUUACGGCUUGGGCGGAGUGUGAGCGUACACGUUGGGACCCGAAAGAUGGUGAACUAUGCCC